CAGGGUAUCAUGUGACUGAGAAUCAGAAGCAGAUUGUGAUAACAGAUGGCGGUGAGGAUCUGUCAUUUUUUGGGACUGGUGGAGAACACCACAUAGUGUAUGGAGAUGCAGAACAGAUAAUGGUGAAUGAGGAUGGGGAUCCCAUUGAAAUGGUAUUGGAGGAUGAAGGUCCGAUUCAGUUUGUGAUACACGAAGCAAGAGAUGUAGUUAAUUCAACAGAACAUGGUGUAGAGGUUGUCAGAAAAACAUGAUGAGAUAGUUUUACAUGUUCUUUUUGUCGUGGUUGUCCAACUGUUUGGCCUUUGGGCUGUUGUGAAUGGUGGUUUAAUUUUUCAUGUAACAAUCUUGUUUCCUCCUAGCAUUUCAUCUGAUGAAAGAAAAAUAUGACUUUUGCUUACUGUGGUCUGUAGUGUUUAUAAAUUUAGGCUCUAGAAGGGGAUAUAUUUAUUUUUUUAUUUGAUUGUUUAGUUAUGAAACUGUUAUUUUCUGACACUGUAGUCUCUUUUAGCUGAAUAUUAAGGAAAGAACACAGUAACUAAAGGACCUGAAAGGGUAAUGGUGAGAUAAAUCUCUAUAUCAGAACCUGUAGGACACUAAACUCUGUUAUACAGAGGUUUUUAAAGAUGUGUCGUGCCUUUUGUAUUCAGUUUAUUUUUAAUAUGUUGUAUUUUUAUAGACUCCUGCAUAUGAGACACUGAAUAUACAGGUUCAGGUUUACAGUGUAAACUUAAAUGCCAUUGCGUUGAAUACUCUGGAGUGUCCUUUGAAUGGCUUGCUACUUAGAGUACAUGUUUAAAUUGCAAUUUUGAAGCAGGUAGCAUACUGCAGCACUAGUUAUGGGUGUAAAAUGUAACUGAUGUGCCAGUCCAGGUUCGUGGUUCGAUUCCCAAACGGGCUGAACUUUGGGAUGAGGGGUAAACCAGGCUUUGGCAUAUUAACUUGGUUUAUAUAAACGAAGGAGGUGUGAUUAGAUGAUACGAUGAUUUGGUACGCCUUACUUCAUCUAAAUUUGAGUGAGUUUAUUAAUUCUGGCAUUGUUAAAUGUAUUAAAUUGGAAGAGAGUGGCGACACUCAGUUGCUUGAACGUCUCUUCUCCCAACAUUCCAUCUAGCGGGAACGUGACUUAAAAAAGCUUUUGCACUUGUAAAAGUUGUUUACGAGGCAAAAACUUAAGCCCUUCCAGAUGUGGAAUGACGGUUGCCCUACAACCAUCGUCUCACUGCGACUGGAACCAAUGAAAUUUGAAUGUGGCUCUUCGGUGCAUUUCCGACAUCAUGGGAUGACUUUUGGGGGAACGAAUCGGAUCGCUGUAUUAAAUUCAAAAUUUAAGAACAAUUGCUUUGCGGGGGUAUUUAUAGCGGGAUUACGUUGGUGCGGGCCCUCAAAAGUUUUGGUUCUUCGAGUCGAGCAGACAGGUUCGGCUUGUACCUUUAAAUUUCAAGUACAAUGACAAACAGCCGAAUCAUUGCGCUGCCUUCCGAUCAGAGUAAUUGGCUGUACAACAGCGUGUCUCGAGAUGCAAUAAAGGUAGACAUCUCCAAGAUAACUUCGGUGUGGUCUUCAGUUGCUCAACCCCAGAGAUUUCACUUCCUUCUCACAAAUGUCGCUCCAACCAUCACAGUCCCUGUAUAUUCCCUGAGAUUCGGAAACUCUUGCUCUCCAACAAAACCUGCACCAAAUAUUCAUUUAUAUCCUUCCGCAUACCCAUUUUCAUAUCUCAAGCUGUAACUGCACGCAAACUGGGUUUGAUCCUGUGGCGACCAAAGUAAGAAGACUAGUCGUGUGCGGAAGGGCGGUUGCACUGAGUAUAAAAUAAUGCCCUAGAAAGGAACAUUUGAUUACAUAGUCUCACCUGAAUAUUGCUUUUGAAGGGUGUGGUACAUCUGAAAGAACCCUGGGAUUUGCAAGGCAACCAGGCAAAUUUUGCAUUCCAAAGUUGUGCACAUAUUGCAGGCUCUCAUAGAAUUAUUUUCCUUUUCUUUAGCAGGAAUAAUCAUGUCUUGAAAAAAAUGAGGCUGCCUUCCCCAUGUUGUAUAGUUUGGCUCUGUCACAUCCAGCCAGUAGUCAUGAUUUUUUUUCUUGUUAUGAAUAGAUUUUGAUAAAAGGGACAUUAGUGAUGAAAACAUUAUAAUCCAUGGGGUAGAAAAUGUUUUUAAUUGAUUCUUAAAAAAUCUGUACAU